GCGCCGUCGCCGUGCUGCUCCCUGGUGAGUCGCUGCUCUGCUGUGCUGGCCUUGCUCACUACUGACGAUGCCUCGUCUCCUCGCUCCAUAUCUCUCUCUCUUGCUCUGCUUGUUCUUGCUUUAGGUUGCAGGCUUGCAGCCCCUGGAUGGCUGGAUGGUGCAUCAGAAGCAGCUUGCAGUUUGUUGCUUUAUAAAGGAGGACGAGGUACGACUAGCAUCAUUGAAUUUUUUUGGGGGGAAGGGGGUAAUAAUUGAGGGCUUGUCUCUGUGAGGAAUCUGGAGGUGAAGAACUUUGUCUGGAGUUUUCAGUGGAUAUCUAUCAAGUUGCUUAUCUAUCUCCCAUCCCUGGGCUCUGGCCCAUGCAUAUAUAAAUGAUAAAUCUUUUAUCACUCCACUUGCCAUGGACGACCCCCAUGGCGAUGGCGAUUUGAUUUCCUGGAUCACCCGCCCCAUCUCACUUCUCGACGUGCGCGCGCCGCUGUUCCUCUUCCUUUUUUUCCCAAAAGAAAACGGAGUGACAAUACAGCUCAUGGCAAAGGUUUUUAUGCUCUCCAUCCAUCCAUGCAGGUGCCAUCCGGCCACCCUGCAGGGGAUGCUAUAGUAGCUACCGAAAGCGACCUGCCAUUGACAAGAGUCAUGAGCCUUGUUGGGAUUAUUAUGAGGAACGCCGGCAGCUUCAGACUCUAGGGGCGACUGUUAGGUCAGGCCACAACAGGGAAUCCCUCCUGCGACAGGCACCUUGUCCUGUCUUGUGCGCCACUGUUGCUUCAUUGCUUGGGCAUUUGUGCGGUGUGCACUGCUGAUGACACACACAGUCCAGCACAAGCCUUUUUCAUCAAUUCCAGUGGCAGCGUGCCUAGCUUCUCUGGAAACCAAUUGCUUGCUUGCUUGCUUGCACUGAAAGGAUGCUGGUUAAUGGUUAGGUCAGGACUCACGAUGAUCCGGAUCAACAGGCGACAGCAGCAAUGGGUGACGAGAGAAGUAGUAACAGCUAUCUCUUUCUUUGGGAUCCAAAUAAUUGAGUUGUUUUUUUGUACUGCAGAUGCGCUGUGGCCACAUGCUGUUCUUUCUGCUAACUUCCGCAUCAGGCAUCAGAUUUUCUGCCUCCUUUUUUUUUCCUGGUGCUUUAGACUGUUGCUGUCACAGGUACGGUGCACUGGAAGGAAGCUGACCACCUGUUCUGUUCUUUUUAGGUGGUCUUUCUUUCUUUCUUUCAUGGCGAGAUGGGACGGGAGCCGAGUUCUUGCUCGCCUUUGCUUGUGCAAGCCGUGACGGCGAUGACGUCGGAACCCGAAUGUGCUGCUUUGGGGCUGGUGGGAUGGAUAGGGAUACCGAGUCAACUUGAUCAAGAUAGAAAAGGAGAGACGCCUAGGGGUUCCUCCUCCUUCCAGGCUCCCACGUAUACUUUACAAUAUCUGCAGACAUGUGUCAUUUUCGGUCAGAUAUGCAGAUCUAGGUGCAUAUUUUCAAGCACAAAUUCAGUUGAACACAUAUUGACACUCAAAAGUGUUGUUGCCUAGAACUUUAGCUUGCACUGUUGGUAAAGUAACGAGGAGGAGUAUGUUGGGGCCUUCGUCUUUCGAAGGUGCUCAAAAACACACUUAAUUAUUGGUUGUCAGCAUGUUCACAAGUGUUGUAGGAACUUCGGUAUUGAAUACCUUCGGAAUAGGAUGAAGAUAAAGACGAAGUUGUUAAGCUUUGUCACAACAACACAUAGAGACGAAGGAGAACAUUGCCGGGAGAAGGCGUCCACGGUUCCGUGUCCAAGCUGUUAGAGGCAGAAGUCAAUAUUGCCCUCGCAUCGUUUUGUAAAUUAUAUGUACAAGUCUUGUGGGCAUAUUUGUUAUUCCAUACAAAGUUGUACGAUCCCCUAUAAAUAGGUGAACAUUGACCUGCAUAAAGUACCUUUUGGAGGGCUAAAGAGUGAUUCGUGUAGUCCCUUCCUAAUGCACCUUCGCUCUAAUUCAUUCUAUUGAGCCGAAGGUACGAUUGUAAAUUUAUGAUACAAAAGAGGAGAAAUGGAAUGUUGAAAUAUCAAGGAUGAGUUAACGUGUUUCAACUUCUUUACAUUCCUUGUACAUACAUAUACUGUUUUGUGAUUUAUUCAAUUAAAAGCCCAACCUUCGUCUUCGAAGGGA
rnacentral:lncRNA from 1 species